rnacentral:misc_RNA from 1 species
UUGAAUCCAAAGGAUGUUGCUGGUCUCUCAGGAGACAUGUGCACUCCGCCUUUCAAUUCACCUGUGAACUUAUUGUAGGCCCCAGUGGUCUAUGUUUUUUUACACACACCCAAUAGUUUAUAGAAUGUCUAAUAGUAGGCCUUUUGGUCGAAACUUAAUA